rnacentral:rRNA from 1 species
AGUUUGACUGGGGCGGUCGCCUCCUAAAGAGUAACGGAGGCGCCCAAAGGUUCCCUCAGAAUGGUUGGAAAUCAUUCGUAGAGUGUAAAGGCACAAGGGAGCUUGACUGCGAGACCUACAAGUCGAGCAGGGACGAAAGUCGGGCUUAGUGAUCCGGUGGUUCCGCAUGGAAGGGCCAUCGCUCAACGGAUAAAAGCUACCCCGGGGAUAACAGGCUUAUCUCCCCCAAGAGUCCACAUCGACGGGGAGGUUUGGCACCUCGAUGUCGGCUCAUCGCAUCCUGGGGCUGUAGUCGGUCCCAAGGGUUGGGCUGUUCGCCCAUUAAAGCGGUACGCGAGCUGGGUUCAGAACGUCGUGAGACAGUUCGGUCCCUAUCCGUCGUGGGCGUAGGAAAUUUGAGAGGAGCUGUCCUUAGUACGAGAGGACCGGGAUGGACGCACCGCUGGUGUACCAGUUGUUCUGCCAAGAGCAUCGCUGGGUAGCUAUGUGCGGAAGGGAUAAGUGCUGAAAGCAUCUAAGCAUGAAGCCCCCCUCAAGAUGAGAUUUCCCAUAGCGCAAGCUAGUAAGAACCCUGAAAGAUGAUCAGGUUGAUAGGU